rnacentral:rRNA from 1 species
UGGCGGCGUGCCUAACACAUGCAAGUCGAGCGGGGACAUACGACGGAGCAGAAGUUUCGGAUGGAAGCGAAGAUGUAUGUUCUAGCGGCGGACGGGUGAGUAACGCGUGAGCAACCUGUCCUUCACAGGGGGAUAACACAGCGAAAGUUGUACUAAUACCGCAUAAGACCACAUUGGGACAUCCCAGAGGGGUCAAAGGAGCAAUCCGGUGAAGGGUGGGCUCGCGUCCGAUUAGAUAGUUGGUGAGGUAACGGCCCCACCAAGUCGACGAUCGGUAGCCGACCUGAGAGGGUGAUCGGCCACAUUGGGACUGAGACACGGCCCAAACUCCUACGGGAGGCAGCAGUGGGGAAUAUUGGGCAAUGGGGGAAACCCUGAACCCCAGCAACGCCGCGUGAGGGAAGAAGGUUUUCGGAUCGUAAACCUCUGUCCUUGGUGAAGAGUGAGAGACGGUAGCCAAGGAGGAAGCCCCGGCUAACUACGUGCCAGCAGCUGC